CCUUGUACACACCGCCCGUCACACCACGAAAGCUGUUUGUACCCAAAGCUAUUUUAGCCAACCUGAAAAGGAGGCGAAUAGUUAAGGUAUGAAUAGUGAUUGGGGUG
rnacentral:rRNA from 1 species